GACGAACCGUGCGAACGUUGUUCGGAAUCACUGGGCUUAAAGGGCGCGUAGGCGGGUGGUUAAGUCAGGGGUGAAAUCCUCCCGCUCAACGGGAGAACAGCUUUUGAUACUGGCCAUCUUGAGGGGGGUAGGGGCAUGUGGAACUUCCGGUGGAGCGGUGAAAUGCGUAGAUAUCGGAAGGAACGCCGGUGGCGAAAGCGACGUGCUGGACCCUUUCUGACGCUGAGGCGCGAAAGCCAGGGGAGCAAACGG
rnacentral:rRNA from 1 species